rnacentral:tRNA from 1 species
CUGCCAGUUGCGCGAGUGGUGGCGGCCGAGUUGGCGCUUUGGCACGGCGGGGCCGAUCGCGGCCGCCUUCGUGGC